AUUGAACGCUGGCGGCAGGCCUAACACAUGCAAGUCGAACGAGUUGCGGACGGGUGAGUAAUGUCUGGGAAACUGCCUGAUGGAGGGGGAUACCUACUGGAAACGGUAGCUAAUACCGCAUACCAUCAGAUGUUCCCAGAGGGGAUUAGCUAGGUGGUGGUGUAAAGGCUCACCAAGGCGACGAUCCCGAGCUGGUCUGAGUGGAUGACCGGCCACAACGGAACUGUGACACGGUCCCGACGCCUACAGUAGGCAGCAGGGGGGAAGAUUGCACAAUGGGCGCAAGCCUGAUGCAGCCAUGCCGCGUGUAUGAAGAAGGCCUUCGGGUUGUAAAGUACAUUCAGCGGGGAGGCGUUACCCGCAGAAGAAGCGCCGGCUAACUCCGUGCCAGCAGCCGCGGUAAUUC
rnacentral:rRNA from 1 species